UACGAAGGGGACUAGCGUUGCUCGGAAUGACUGGGCGUAAAGAGCGUGUAGGCGGCCCGGUAAGUCCGCUGUGAAAGUCGGGGGCUCAACCCUCGAAUGCCGGUGGAUACUGUCGGGCUAAAGUGCGGAAGAGGCGAGUGGAAUUCCUGGUGUAGCGGUGAAAUGCGCAGAUAUCAGGAGGAACACCAAUUGCGAAGGCAGCUCGCUGGGACGUAACUGACGCUGAGACGCGAAAGCGUGGGGAGCAAACAGG
rnacentral:rRNA from 1 species